UCGGACGUGGUGUGUGGCGCACACCUGCGCCUUAUGGAAGAGAUCCCAUGUGCUUUCGAGCGGGAGGCCUGGGUUCGACUCCCAGCGUCCGAA